rnacentral:rRNA from 1 species
AGGUAAGCUACUAAGAGCGAAUGGUGGAUGCCUUGACUGGUAAAGGCGAUGAAGGACGUACUAGACUGCGAUAAGCUACGGGGAGCUGUCAAGAAGCUUUGAUCCGUAGAUUUCCGAAUGGGGCAACCCAAUGUAUAGAGAUAUACAUUACCUAUAUAGGAGCGAACGAGGGGAAUUGAAACAUCUUAGUACCCUCAGGAAAAGAAAUCAAUAGAGAUUGCGUCAGUAGCGGCGAGCGAAAGCGCAAGAGGGCAAACCCAGUGCUUGCACUGGGGGUUGUAGGACUGCAAUGUGCAAGAGGUGAGUUUAGCAGAACAUUCUGGAAAGUAUAGCCAUAGAGGGUGAUAGUCCCGUAUGCGAAAAACAAACCUUAGCUAGCAGUAUCCUGAGUAGGGCGGGACACGAGAAAUCCUGUCUGAAGCUGGGUCGACCACGAUCCAACCCUAAAUACUAAUACCAGAUCGAUAGUGCACAAGUACCGUGAGGGAAAGGUGAAAAGAACUGAGGUGAUCAGAGUGAAAUAGAACCUGAAACCAUUUGCUUACAAUCAUUCAGAGCCCUAUGUAGCAAUACAGGGUGAUGGACUGCCUUUUGCAUAAUGAGCCUGCGAGUUGUGGUGUCUGGCAAGGUUAAGCAAACGCGAAGCCGUAGCGAAAGCGAGUCUGAAUAGGGCGCUUAGUCAGAUGCUGCAGACCCGAAACGAAGUGAUCUAUCCAUGAGCAAGUUGAAGCUAGUGUAAGAACUAGUGGAGGACUGAACCCAUAGGCGUUGAAAAGCCCCGGGAUGACUUGUGGAUAGGGGUGAAAGGCCAAUCAAACUUCGUGAUAGCUGGUUCUCUCCGAAAUAUAUUUAGGUAUAGCGUUGUGUCGUAAUAUAAGGGGGUAGAGCACUGAAUGGGCUAGGGCAUACACCAAUGUACCAAACCCUAUCAAACUCCGAAUACCUUAUAUGUAAUCACAGCAGUCAGGCGGCGAGUGAUAAAAUCCGUCGUCAAGAGGGAAACAACCCAGACUACCAGCUAAGGUCCCUAAAUCUUACUUAAGUGGAAAACGAUGUGAAGUUACUUAAACAACCAGGAGGUUGGCUUAGAAGCAGCCAUCCUUUAAAGAAAGCGUAAUAGCUCACUGGUCUAGUGAUUUUGCGCGGAAAAUAUAACGGGGCUAAAGUAAGUACCGAAGCUGUAGACUUGCGCACAACUUAGAUUAUUUAAGUUUAGAAUAUGAGAAACUAAGUUAUAUGUUUAGUUAUAUUUUUACUGAUUUUUAUAGAGUAAAGAUAGAAAUAAAACUUAGUAAA